UACGUAGGGCGCAAGCGUUAUCCGGAAUUAUUGGGCGUAAAGAGCUCGUAGGCGGUUUGUCACGUCGGCUGUGAAAACCCGAGGCUCAACCUCGGGCCUGCAGUCGAUACGGGCAGACUGGAGUACUGCAGGGGAGACUGGAAUUCCUGGUGUAGCGGUGGAAUGCGCAGAUAUCAGGAGGAACACCGGUGGCGAAGGCGGGUCUCUGGGCCGAUACUGACGUGGAGGAGC
rnacentral:rRNA from 1 species